rnacentral:rRNA from 1 species
UAAUACGUAGGUGGCGAGCGUUGUCCGGAUUUACUGGGCGUAAAGCGCGUGCAGGCGGUUCGUUAAGUCUGGGGUGAAAUCUCCCGGCUCAACUGGGAGGGGUUCUCAGAUACUGGCGGACUUGAGGGAGGUAGAGGAGAGUAGAAUUCUCGGUGUAGUGGUGAUAUGCGUAGAUAUCGAGAGGAAUACCAGUGGCGAAGGCGGCUCUCUGGACCUUACCUGACGCUAAGACGCGAAAGCGUGGGGAGCGAACCGGAUUAGAUACCCGGGUAGUCCACGCCGUAAACGAUGGACACUAGGUGUGGGGGGUAUCGACCCCCUCCGUGCCGAAGCUAACGCAAUAAGUGUCCCGCCUGGGGAGUACGGCCGCAAGGCUA